rnacentral:rRNA from 1 species
AUUGAACGCUAGCGGGAUGCCUUACACAUGCAAGUCGAACGGAGUGGCGAACGGGUGAGUAAUGUAUCGGAACGUGCCCAGUAGCGGGGGAUAACUACGCGAAAGCGUAGCUAAUACCGCAUACAUUGGGACGGGCCGAGAACGGAUUAGCUAGUUGGUGGGGUAACGGCCAACCAAGGCGACGACCCGUAGCUGGUUUGAGAGGACGACCGGCCACACUGGGACUGAUACACGGCCCAGACUCCUACGGGAGGCAGCGGUGGGGAAUUUUGGACAAUGGGGGAAACCCUGAUCCAGCCAUCCCGCGUGUGCGAUGAAGGCCUUCGGGUUGUAAAGCACUUUUGGCAGGAAAGCGGUACCUGCAGAAUAAGCACCGGCUAACUACGUGCCAGCAGCCGCGGUAAUAC